rnacentral:tRNA from 1 species
GGCCUCGUAGUUCAGUUGGUUAGAACGCCUGCCUGUCACGCAGGAGGUCGACAGUUCGAGUCUGUUCGGGGUCGCUA